rnacentral:rRNA from 1 species
UAGGGAAUCUUCCACAAUGGGCGCAAGCCUGAUGGAGCAACACCGCGUGAGUGAAGAAGGGUUUCGGCUCGUAAAGCUCUGUUGUUAGAGAAGAACGUGCGUGAGAUUAACUGUUCACGCAGUGACGGUAUCUAACCAGAAAGUCACGGCUAACUACGUGCCAGCAGCCGCGGUAAUACGUAGGUGGCAAGCGUUAUCCGGAUUUAUUGGGCGUAAAGCGAGCGCAGGCGGUUUGAUAAGUCUGAUGUGAAAGCCUUUGGCUUAACCAAAGAAGUGCAUCGGAAACUGUCAGACUUGAGUGCAGAAGAGGACAGUGGAACUCCAUGUGUAGCGGUGGAAUGCGUAGAUAUAUGGAAGAACACCAGUGGCGAAGGCGGCUGUCUGGUCUGCAACUGACGCUGAGGCUCGAAAGCAUGGGUAGCGAACA